rnacentral:rRNA from 1 species
CAGUAGCCGCGGUAAUACGUAGGGUGCAAGCGUUAAUCGGAAUUACUGGGCGUAAAGCGUGCGCAGGCGGUUUGUUAAGACAGAUGUGAAAUCCCCGGGCUCAACCUGGGAACUGCAUUUGUUACUGGCAAGCUAGAGUAUGGCAGAGGGUGGUGGAAUUCCGCGUGUAGCAGUGAAAUGCGUAGAUAUGCGGAGGAACACCGAUGGCGAAGGCAGCCCCCUGGGCCAAUACUGACGCUCAUGCACGAAAGCGUGGGGAGCAAACAGGAUUAGAUACCCCUGUAGUCCCUGUCUCUUAUAC